rnacentral:lncRNA from 1 species
GCCCAGGUGAGGCUAGGACGCAGAGGAGAAGCCUUAUGAGCACAGCCAGAGCGAGUGCUGCUCGAGGAGUGGCCUGGCUGGCCCAAGUUGCAGAGCAUCAGGAGCUGACUCUGGGGGCUUCGGAUCUGAGGUUCUUCGUGGAGACCCCGCCCCUUUUCCCUUUCUGCAGAAGCUCAGGAGCGCUAGUCUGCGGAGAUUUCCCAGUCUGGGGACAGUGGGAUGUCUUGUGCUCUCGCCUCGGGAGGGGAGCGGGAUCCUGUAGGCUCAGGUAGAGCACCUCCAGCUCUCUUAGUGUCCUCAUUAACGUUUAGUAUAUCUUCAUGCCUGGAGCGUUAUGAAAAUUCAGUGCCUGAUCAGGUUUGGGAUUUCAAAUGGCUAAUUUUUCGGGAUUUAUUUUUUAUUUGAGAAGAAAUAUUCUUCACAGAUGAGGGUGGAAGGAGGCCAGAUGGUCACGUGUUCAUAUAGGCCUAUGCCUGUUUCUGCCUCUGGUAACUUCCUUCUGGGUCCAGUUUGAAUACCUUCAUCCCAGUACGAUUCAGGGCUUAAAUGCUGGGUUCCGGAAGCAUUCCAGAUGCAGCAUGCUGUGCCUGCGCUGUCAGCUUUGGUAUCUAAGGGUCAAAUAUUAACUGCUGCUCUCACCCCUCUUUUGAAAUAGGGUUCAGUCUCGGGUCCUUUUCAUUCCCCAUGCCUGUGUGGAGAGGAUAAAUCUGCUGCAAGUUUAAGUACACAUUCAAAUCCAGAUGAAUUAUUCUGCAAGAUAGUGGAAAAGGAGAAGUAAAUUGAAGGACAGCAGUUCUGAUAUCAGCAGAGAGAGCUUCAAGAAAGCAUCUUGUUGAAUGAUUGCAAAGCAAGAGGGCAGGCUCUCUGAAUACGUGAUAGCUCAAGGUACUGCCGGGACAAACAAUACUGAUCAAGACAGUGCAUUCAACCUGAGAGGAUGGAGUUUCUUGAUUAUUCAGAACAAAAACCAUUUAAGGAUCUUGAAAGAUUAAUCCAGGAAUCUCAGAGCAGCCAGGAUCUUUCAUCACAUCAGGAAAAUAGCUACAGGAUCGCACUUUCUUCAAGCACCCUUUGCCCUCACGUUUCCCAGCUGAGAAAUAUGAAUUUCCAACCAGAACACUCAGAACUCAAAGGAUGUUAUUUUCAAGUCUAUGCCUCCCAAACUGAAGGGCUGCCAAGGGUAGAUGACAGAGUUCAAAGCUGCAGGCCACCAAUGCUGCCUCCCCCCCUUCUCAGACAGAGUAAUGAAUUAAAUCAUCCUUCAGUGCAUGGAUCACCUUCACACACCUCAGAAAGAGCCACUUCAUUUGGAAAUGCUGCAACUCAUAUAGACAGUUAUGUUUGGGGAAUAUACACAUUUAUGUUUCUGUCAAGUAUUUAUAAGCCAAGUUGCGUACACAAGCCUCGUAGUUUUGAUAGACAUCUCCCUAAAUUAUGUCACCAGUCAAUGUCACAGCACAUGAUAAUUUUAUAUAAUCCAGGAUAUUUUGCCAAAGAGUCUUAG